rnacentral:rRNA from 1 species
CAGAAGGGUGCGUAACACGUGAGCAACUUGCCCGUAACAGGGGGAUAACCGAUGGAAACGUCGACUAAGACCCCGUAAAACCGAAGAGGCAUCUUUUUGGUUUGAAAAUUUCGAUGGUUACGGAUAGGCUCGCGGGAACAUUAGGCUAGUUGGCGGGGCAACGGCCCACCAAGGCGACGAUGUCUAGGGGUUCUGAGAGGAAGAUCCCCCACACUGGGACUGAGACACGGCCCAGACUCCUACGGGAGGCAGCAGUGAGGAAUAUUGGUCAAUGGGCGGAAGCCUGAACCAGCCAUGCCGGCGUGAAGGACUAAGGCCCUAUGGGUCGUAAACUUCUUUUAACGCAGAGCAAUAAGGGUCACGUGUGAUCCGAUGAGAGUAUGCGUGGAAUAAGCAUCCGGCUAACUCCGUGCC